UGUCCAGUGUGGAGGCACACUCACCUUGACUUGCAGGCAGACUUUGGACAUCAAGAUAAAGUAGUGGGUGCUGUCAUCUCUCAAAGCUGGUUUUAUUUGUCUCUGUGUCUACAAGGCUGUCUUGGCAACUGCUUAGGGCCUGCGUGUUUGAACAAGUCAUUCCUGUGGGUACCAGGAGAGGUUCCAGCAGCCUGAAGAUUCCCAGCACCCACUUGUGAUCUGUCCAGUUCUGGCCUACAAUUCCUUUUCCAGUCAGAGACAGCUGCAGGGUUUCUGUCUGGAUAAAAUUGUCUUUUGAAAUCCA